GAUGAAGAACGUAGCGAAAUGCGAUAAGUAAUGUGAAUUGCAGAAUUCAGUGAAUCAUCGAAUCUUUGAACGCACAUUGCGCCCCUUGGUAUUCCGAGGGGCAUGCCUGUUCGAGCGUCAUAUUAACCACUCCCGCUUGCGGGGUCUUGGGCUUCGCCUCCGGGCGGGCCUUAAAAUCAGUGGCGGUGCCGUCGGGCUCUACGCGUAGUAAAUUUUCUCGCGAUAGGGUCCCGGUGGAUGCUUGCUAACAACCCCCAACUUCUUAAGGUUGACCUCGGAUCAGGUAGGGAUACCCGCUGAACUUAAGCAUAUCAAUAAGCGGAGGA
rnacentral:misc_RNA from 1 species